GGCUUCUUAGCUCNUGGUAAAGCAUGCGCGUACAAAGCGUAGGCGGUGUCCAUGCGUGGGUUCGAAUCCCACCGAGGCUA
rnacentral:tRNA from 1 species